CGUUUGUCAUAACUCCAGCCUUCUGCAACAUAGAACCAAAUACAGCAGCACAUAAAAUUGCUUGCCGAUUUGUGAUCAACAUUUGCUUCUGUAUCCCUGUGAUGUAGGUAUUUAACGAGCUACAACAUGAAGGACUUGGAGCAGCUAAAUUUCUGCAUGCAUUGAUCACUUCAGAUGGCUGCUUGAAUUCCAGUGGACAAGCUACCCUGUGAUGUAAGCAUUUAACGAGCUACAACAUGAAGGACUUGGAGCAGCUAAAUUUCUGCAUGCAUUGAUCACUUCAGAUGGCUGCUUGAAUUCCAGGGGACAAGCU
rnacentral:lncRNA from 1 species